CGCCUCUGCCUCCUGAGGGUGUUAGGGGCCCUGGGAUCCACGUGUCUACUUGAAGACAGCUACAGGAGACAAAGUUUGCAGUAGGCCUCGAGACAGGGUUUCACCAUGUUGCCCAGGCUGGUCUCCUGAGCUCAAGCGAUCUGCCCGCCUCCACCUCCCAAAGUGCUAGGAUUACAAGCAACCAACAUCCCGGGUAACCGGGUGGCUGAAGGACGGGUGACGUGUCCCUACCUCCCCCCCUUCCCUGCCCGAGGCUCCGGCAUCCACCGUCUUGCCUUCCUGCUCUUCAAGCAGGACCAGCCGAUUGACUUCUCCGAGGAUGCACGCCCCUCACCCUGCUAUCAGCUGGCCCAGCGGACCUUCCGCACUUUUGAUUUCUACAAGAAAUACCAAGAAGCCAUGACUCCAGCCGGCUUGUCCUUCUUCCAGUGCCGCUGGGAUGACUCCGUAACCUACAUCUUCCACCAGCUUCUGGACAUGCGGGAGCCAGUGUUUGAGUUCGUGCGGCCGCCCCCUUACCACCCCAAGCAGAAG
rnacentral:sRNA from 1 species